GAUUCCAUCUAAAUGCAUCCUACUCCUAACAAUGAACCUGAACCCACUGUAGCCAAUACACACCGUAAGAACCCAAAUGGUUAAGAGUCUAAGUUUAUGCGUAGUCAAACUACAGUAAUCUCACUACGAAUAACUGAGACACCGCAGGUCAAAGGAUCACUCACACCACUGCAACAUCGAGCAAAUCACUGAUGAGUGAGUAGACAUCCAAGUAGUUUCUUGUAUUGGUCACACUCAAUAUAAGUUAUUCUCUAACAACCACCUAUACUUUUAUCUCAAUAUCUCUACACUACAGACUUGAGACACAU
rnacentral:lncRNA from 1 species